UACUUGCCACUGGGAAUCUCCCUUACUCCCA
rnacentral:piRNA from 1 species